rnacentral:rRNA from 1 species
UUUUAUGGAGAGUUUGAUCCUGGCUCAGGAUGAACGCUGGCGGCGUGCCUAAUACAUGCAAGUCGAGCGAACGGACGAGAAGCUUGCUUCUCUGAUGUUAGCGGCGGACGGGUGAGUAACACGUGGAUAACCUACCCAUAAGACUGGGAUAACUUCGGGAAACCGGAGCUAAUACCGGAUAAUAUUUUGAACCGCAUGGUUCAAAAGUGAAAGACGGUCUUGCUGUCACUUAUGGAUGGAUCCGCGCUGCAUUAGCUAGUUGGUAAGGUAACGGCUUACCAAGGCAACGAUGCAUAGCCGACCUGAGAGGGUGAUCGGCCACACUGGAACUGAGACACGGUCCAGACUCCUACGGGAGGCAGCAGUAGGGAAUCUUCCGCAAUGGGCGAAAGCCUGACGGAGCAACGCCGCGUGAGUGAUGAAGGUCUUCGGAUCGUAAAACUCUGUUAUUAGGGAAGAACAUAUGUGUAAGUAACUGUGCACAUCUUGACGGUACCUAAUCAGAAAGCCACGGCUAACUACGUGCCAGCAGCCGCGGUAAUACGUAGGUGGCAAGCGUUAUCCGGAAUUAUUGGGCGUAAAGCGCGCGUAGGCGGUUUUUUAAGUCUGAUGUGAAAGCCCACGGCUCAACCGUGGAGGGUCAUUGGAAACUGGAAAACUUGAGUGCAGAAGAGGAAAGUGGAAUUCCAUGUGUAGCGGUGAAAUGCGCAGAGAUAUGGAGGAACACCAGUGGCGAAGGCGACUUUCUGGUCUGUAACUGACGCUGAUGUGCGAAAGCGUGGGGAUCAAACAGGAUUAGAUACCCUGGUAGUCCACGCCGUAAACGAUGAGUGCUAAGUGUUAGGGGGUUUCCGCCCCUUAGUGCUGCAGCUAACGCAUUAAGCACUCCGCCUGGGGAGUACGACCGCAAGGUUGAAACUCAAAGGAAUUGACGGGGACCCGCACAAGCGGUGGAGCAUGUGGUUUAAUUCGAAGCAACGCGAAGAACCUUACCAAAUCUUGACAUCCUUUGACAACUCUAGAGAUAGAGCCUUCCCCUUCGGGGGACAAAGUGACAGGUGGUGCAUGGUUGUCGUCAGCUCGUGUCGUGAGAUGUUGGGUUAAGUCCCGCAACGAGCGCAACCCUUAAGCUUAGUUGCCAUCAUUAAGUUGGGCACUCUAAGUUGACUGCCGGUGACAAACCGGAGGAAGGUGGGGAUGACGUCAAAUCAUCAUGCCCCUUAUGAUUUGGGCUACACACGUGCUACAAUGGACAAUACAAAGGGCAGCGAAACCGCGAGGUCAAGCAAAUCCCAUAAAGUUGUUCUCAGUUCGGAUUGUAGUCUGCAACUCGACUACAUGAAGCUGGAAUCGCUAGUAAUCGUAGAUCAGCAUGCUACGGUGAAUACGUUCCCGGGUCUUGUACACACCGCCCGUCACACCACGAGAGUUUGUAACACCCGAAGCCGGUGGAGUAACCUUUUAGGAGCUAGCCGUCGAAGGUGGGACAAAUGAUUGGGGUGAAGUCGUAACAAGGUAGCCGUAUCGGAAGGUGCGGCUGGAUCACCUCCUUUCUAA